UUACGGCCACAUCACGCUGAAACAGCAGUUCCCGUAUGAUCACCGAAGUUAAGCGACGUCGUACCUGGUCAGUAUAUAGAUGAGUGACCGCUUGGGGAUACCAGUUGUUGUA